rnacentral:rRNA from 1 species
UACGUAGGGGGCUAGCGUUGUCCGGAAUCAUUGGGCGUAAAGCGCACGUAGGCGGUCUGUUAUGUCGGAUGUGAAAGCCCUCGGCUCAACUGAGGAAGUGCAUCCGAAACUGGCAGGCUAGAGUACUAAAGAGGGUCGCGGAAUUCCCGGUGUAGAGGUGAAAUUCGUAGAUAUCGGGAGGAACACCGGUGGCGAAGGCGGCGACCUGGGUAGAUACUGACGCUGAGGUGCGAAAGCGUGGGGAGCAAACAGG